GACGAACGCUGGCGGCGUGCUUAACACAUGCAAGUCGAACGAUGACGACCGUGCUUGCACGGUCUGAUUAGUGGCGAACGGGUGAGUAACACGUGAGUAACCUGCCCUCCACUUCGGGAUAACCUCGGGAAAUCGUGGCUAAUACCGGAUAUGAAUCCUUGUCGCAUGGCGGGGGUUGGAAAGAUUUAUCGGUGGGGGAUGGACUCGCGGCCUAUCAGUUUGUUGGUGAGGUAAUGGCUCACCAAGACGAUGACGGGUAGCCGGCCUGAGAGGGCGACCGGCCACACUGGGACUGAGACACGGCCCAG
rnacentral:rRNA from 1 species